CUACGGGGUGCUCCAGUGGGGAAUAUUGCACAAUGGGCGCAAGCCUGAUGCAGCCAUGCCGCGUGUAUGAAGAAGGCCUUCGGGUUGUAAAGUACUUUCAGCGGGGAGGAAGGGAGUAAAGUUAAUACCUUUGCUCAUUGACGUUACCCGCAGAAGAAGCACCGGCUAACUCCGUGCCAGCAGGCCGCGGUAAUACGGAGGGUGCAAUCGUUAAUCGGAAUUACUGGGCGUAAAGCGCACGCAGGCGGUUUGUUAAGUCAGAUGUGAAAUCCCCGGGCUCAACCUGGGAACUGCAUCUGAUACUGGCAAGCUUGAGUCUCGUAGAGGGGGGUAGAAUUCCAGGUGUAGCGGUGAAAUGCGUAGAGAUCUGGAGGAAUACCGGUGGCGAAGGCGGCCCCCUGGACGAAGACUGACGCUCAGGUGCGAAAGCGUGGGGAGCAAACAGGAUUAGAUACCCUUGUAGUC
rnacentral:rRNA from 1 species